GAAGCUGGCUAGACAGUCGCUGCUUGCCUUUCAGCAAUGAAAGGCAAGGGGAGGAAAGUCCGGGCUCCACAGAGCAGGAUGCCGGUUAAUGACCGGCCGCCGCGAGGUGAGGAAUAGGGCCACAGAGACGAGCGUAUUAAGUUACGGUGAAACGCGGUAACCUCCAUCCGGAGCAAGACCAAAUAGGCAGGCUAUGAUGCUGCUCGCUGAGCCUGCGGGUAGGUCGCUUGAGCGCGCGGGCAACCGCGCGUCUAGAGGAAUGAUUGUCCAAGACAGAACCCGGCUUAUCGGCCAGCUUCCUUU
rnacentral:RNase_P_RNA from 2 species